UGAACGCUGGCGGCAGGCCUAACACAUGCAAGUCGACUGGUAACAGGAAACAGCUUGCUGUUUCGCUGACGAGUGGCGGACGGGUGAGUAAUGUCUGGGAAACUGCCUGAUGGAGGGGGAUAACUACUGGAAACGGUAGCUAAUACCGCAUAACGUCGCAAGACCAAAGAGGGGGACCUUCGGGCCUCUUGCCAUCAGAUGUGCCCAGAUGGGAUUAGCUAGUAGGUGGGGUAACGGCUCACCUAGGCGACGAUCCCUAGCUGGUCUGAGAGGAAGACCAGCCACACUGGAACUGAGACACGGUCCAGACUCCUACGGGAGGCAGCAGUGGGGAAUAUUGCACAAUGGGCGCAAGCCUGAUGCAGCCAUGCCGCGUGUAUGAAGAAGGCCUUCGGGUUGUAAAGUACUUUCAGCGGGGAGGAAGGGAGUAAAGUUAAUACCUUUGCUCAUUGACGUUACCCGCAGAAGAAGCACCGGCUAACUCCGUG
rnacentral:rRNA from 1 species